rnacentral:lncRNA from 1 species
CUUUAAGCCGAGUGCGGACGUCCACUUCAUAUCCUUUUGUAUAUAUAUAUAUAUAUAUAUAUAUACAUAUAUAUGUGUGUGUGUGUGUGUAGUGUUUGUUAAGUGAUCAAAUAUGGUCUUUUUGCUAGUUGUUUCAUGUUUGAGUCAUGUUUGUAGAUUUUUGUAGGGGUGUGACUUCGAAACCGAAAACCGAAAAAAAACCGCACCGAAAACCAAACUGUAACCGAAAAAACCGCACCGAACAAAAACAGCACCGAAAAAAAUCCGGGCCGAACCAGAUAUUUUCGGUUCGGUUUUCGGUUUAAGGCCGAUGAAAACCGAACUGAACCGUUUGAACCGAAGUCAACGGUCAACGACGUCGUUUUGAUUUAAAAAAAACCCUAGUCUUCACUGAAGACUCUUCAGCCGAAAACCACAAGGCUGCCAGUUCCUCACUUCCUUGUCUUUCUAUGUUUCUCAACCUCUCCAAGUGCUCCCGACUGACCGACUCCCCUCUUUGGCCUUCGUUUGUCGCCCUCCUCUCCGCCGGCCUCCGCCUGUUGCCCUCCUCUCUGGCAGUCCGGCGUCUCGGCCUCUCGAACAGGCUGCCAGUUGCCUCAUCUUUCUCCUCUCUGGUCUCCGCCUCUCGCCCCCCUCUCCGGCCUCGGUUUGUCGCCCUCCUCUCCGCAUGCCUCUGAUAAGACGUAUGUGCACACGCAUCAAUUAACCCUGUCAACAAAUCAAUCGUAGUAUAAAGCAAGCAGGGAUCGUUCUAAACUGGGGAUCCAACUACAGGGUAGAUCCAUCUAAUCUAAUAAAAAUGUCGAAAUAAGCAUAUAGAGUUUAAAGGUUUUGAUGAUUUUGGAAUAAAUAUUGAAAAUAAAUCCUAAAUUACUUCUAUACAUAUUUACAUGUGAUCAACCAACAAUCAUGCAAACUUAACCAAACAACCAUGUAAGAACAAAGAAGACGAUCUCUAAUCUCAUUUAAGUCUACACCGUGAGCAAUUAUACAACCUAAGUUUGAUAUGCACAUAAGUUCCUACGUGGUUCCUAUGACAUAGACCUACUUAGAAUUAGACUACGGGUUUCAUUCAACAUCGUGACACAACAAGCUCGGCUACAUGCUCUACUUAUUGGUCACACACAUAAACUAAUCAUGCAAUUACGUAUCACAUAAAGAAUUUGAUGUGUUUAAGCACAAGUCCAAAUCAAACAUAGGUAGAAAAUC